AGUGAAGCGGCACAGCUCAAAUUUGAAAUCUGGCGCUUGCGCCCGAGUUGUAAUUUGCAGAGGAUGCUUUUGGCGCGGUGCCUUCCGAGUUCCCUGGAACGGGACGCCAUAGAGGGUGAGAGCCCCGUACGGUUGGACACCAAGCCUCUGUAAAGCUCCUUCGACGAGUCGAGUAGUUUGGGAAUGCUGCUCUAAAUGGGAGGUAAAUUUCUUCUAAAGCUAAAUACCGGCCAGAGACCGAUAGCGCACAAGUAGAGUGAUCGAAAGAUGAAAAGCACUUUGAAAAGAGGGUUAAAUAGCACGUGAAAUUGUCAAAGGGGAAGGGUUUAUGACCAGACUUGUGCCUGGCGGAUCAUCCGGUGUUCUCACCGGUGCACUUCGCCUGGUAUAGGCCAGCAUCGGUUUCCGUAGGGGGAUAAAGGCUUUGGGAACGUAGCUCUCUCCGGGGAGUGUUAUAGCCCAUUGUGUAAUACCCUUGUGGGGACCGAGGACCGCGCUUCGGCUAGGAUGCUGGCAUAAUGGUUAUUAACCACCCGUCUUGAAACACGGACCAAGGAGUCGAACAUUUGUGCGAGUGUUUGGGUGUUAAACCCUCACGCGUAAUGAAAGUGAACGGAGGUGAGAGCCUUUUAGGUGCAUCAUCGACCGAUCCUGAUGUCUUCGGAUGGAUUUGAGUAAGAGCAUAAAUGUCCGGACCCGAAAGAUGGUGAACUAUGCGUGGAUAGGGUGAAGCCAGAGGAAACUCUGGUGGAGGCUCGCAGCGGUUCUGACGUGCAAAUCGAUCGUCAAAUCUGCGCAUGGGGGCGAAAGACUAAUCGAACCAUCUAGUAGCUGGUUACCGCCGAAGU
rnacentral:rRNA from 1 species